UGUCCUGGUGGAACAUUCUGGUUGGUGGUUCUCUGUAUUGCCGUGUAGCGGGCAGGGUCACCCUCACCUGGACGGAGGCACUUGGGUUUACUUGCAUUUAGUUAUAAAGUGGUGGCCUAUCAUCUGUAUGUCAGUAACCAGCGUCUGCUGUCUGAGACUCUUGGACCUAGAGACUCCCAGCUUUGUUAUGCCAGUGUGAGCCAAUACUGCUUUCAUGCUGGGUAAAAUCUAUGGUUAAAGUUGUAUAUGAAUGUUUAAUAAUAUUUGAGCAAAUUGGAGCAUGAGUGCUUGGUAGUAGCAAGAUGUCUACCAAGAUGUGGGGAAGUCAUGAGAUGAAAGUUACUUGGCCAGAGCAACCUAACUUGAUGAAUGGGAACUCCAUAGUAUUUUAUGGGAUGCCAGUUUUGGUCUUUCUUAUGUGUCUAAUUACAAUGUCAAAAUACAAGAAGUUGGUAAGUCCCGGAAUGUAUUAUACCCCUGUUUCUACCCCACCAUUUCAAAAUGCAGUGUAUAGUAUUUAGCAAGGACUGCAGACAUGCUGUCCAACAAUUAGUAGGAGCAGGAAGGAGUUUUAAGAAAAAGUAAAAGUUACCAGGUGGUUUUUGUUGGUGGUUGAGGCCCUAGGUGCAAAGAGAAUUGCCAUUCUUGCUGUGUUACUGUGAGAUUGUAAAUAUUUGUGUCAUGAACUUUGUUUAAUUCACUUUUAUUGCCUGCAGUCCUUGGCACUAUAUCUGGCAUGUAACUGGCUCUUGGUUGUGGUGUACCUUUGAAUCUGUUUUUAAAAACAUUGUACCCAAGAGUGUAUAUAGCACAGUCAAUGCUAUUUAAUCCAAGCAAAUUGUGUUUCUUUCGUUGUUAGAAUUUUUGAAUUUAUGAAGAAAAAAAUGGGCAUCAGGAUUUGCAUUUGAAUUUUUAUUUAAAAUAGAUUCCACAUAGAAUUCCGAUUGAGUAAAAGGGGAUAUGAAUGCUUUAUAAGGAAUACUUCAAGGAAUUAUUGUUAUUUAGAAAUGUGUUACAUUUUGUGGGGUUUCCUGAUUAUUAAAAUGAUGUAUUUUCUUGUGAAACAAUGAGAGAAAGAGACAUAGGGGAAGGGGAGGAGGGAGGAAUAAUUAAAAUAGUAAAAAGAGGCAUUGCCUUUCUUAUGGGGAUAAGUGCAUUUUGUCAUUGAAAUUUUUAUUCUGCUGCUGAGCGGGAUCCUGGUUGGGCUGGGAGCAGACCCCGUCCUUUUAGUUUGGUGCUGGGAAGCUUGAAUCCAUCUUUGCUUUUUUCAUAAUUAUAGCCUCACUUUUCUCCUCACCAGCUGAGAAGUUAGACUGAAACAUCAGGAUGGACUAUAAUUUCUGAGAUGUAAAUACAAAUUUUACUUAAAAAAUGCUUUAUUCCUGGCUUCUGCUAGCUGAUCCAAAAUAAAAAGUUUAAAAAACAUUUUUGUUAAGAGGACAAAGUGUGCACUUGUUGGUGUUUAGUAAAUCUUUGUGAUGCAGUUUCUGGUCGUUUUAGAGCCAUCAGGGUACCAGCUUAACCUUCAUGGCCAAGGAUGUUGUGCUACCUGCUGUUCUCCUUGUCUCUAUCACUUAUUUAAUAAGUGUACUAUUAUUCUCACUCCACAGAUGAGGAAACUGAGGCACAGAGUCAUUAAGAACCCCAAGCUGAUAGCCCAUAAAUAGAGUUUGUGAAGAAGAGGAAGGAGGCUGUCCCAUCAGUAACUACUUCUAGCUCCACCUCCACCUAUCAGUGCUUUUCAGCCUUUCUGCUGCAAUUCCUCACCAGUAACAGAUUCUGGCUGCAGCCCUGAGUACUUUGCAUUCUGUGCACUGAGCUUGCGGCCAGGCUCUCCAGAUGUUCCUCAUCGUCAGAAGCUGAGCUCCAUCAACUCUUUGUCUAACCCUCAGGCUCUCCGGAGUCUCAGGGGCCCCCCUUCCCUCCUGUCCUAACCUCCAGGAUGUCUCCGGCUGCUGCUUCUCGUCUGGAGGCUACGAUUUGGAGUGUAGCAUUUUGAAACCAGUUUAUUAUAUGUUAUUACUGAGUACCACCAAAAAAGAAGAAAAUAAAGCUCUCUAAAAUAGAA